rnacentral:rRNA from 1 species
UACGUAGGGUGCGAGCGUUAAUCGGAAUUACUGGGCGUAAAGCGUGCGUAGGCGGUUCGUUAAGUGCGUCGUGAAAGCCCCGGGCUCAACCUGGGAAUGGCGAUGGAAACCGGCGGGCUGGAGUAUGGCAGAGGGGGGUGGAAUUCCGCGUGUAGCAGUGAAAUGCGUAGAGAUGCGGAGGAACACCGAUGGCGAAGGCAGCCCCCUGGGCCAAUACUGACGCUCAGGCACGAAAGCGUGGGGAGCAAACAGG